CGAGGAUAUUUUUUCAAGAAAACCCUUCAGUUUCUCCCGACCAAAUCCGCACUCCUCGUGUCCUCCUCCGACAGAAUCCCCAGCUGCGCUGCUCCCCACCGCCGUCGCUUCCCCGCUCCCUCGCCGCAGCUGCCCUGCUCCCCGCCCUGCGGCUCCCCUGCUCCCCCGCUCCCUCGCCGCAGCUGCCUCCUGCUCCGCCGCUGCAUCUGCCGCUCGCCUUCCUCCCCAAGCUCCCCCCUUCCUCAUAAAAAUCUUAGAUUUCCCCAGCUACCGCCGCGCUGAUGAGCCCGACGACGACAACAAGCUUAAGCUCGUGGAUUUGCUCAUGGAUUUGCGGCUUCUUCUUCAUUGUUUCUCUGGUGGAAGACCCGCGGCAGCGGUAACACCGCGGCAGCGGCAGUGGCGGCGGCGGCGGCUGUAACACCGCGGCAGCGGCAGCGGCUGUCCAGUUGGUCGUGCCUGCUCACUUGGCAGCAGCGGCGGCCGCUACAAAUCUUCUCCAGCAUCUCCAAGUCCUACAGCCUGGGCAGCAGCGGCGGCGGCUACAACCUGGGUAGCAGUACCCUCUUCAGAGAUCAGACAGUAGCACCACGGUCACUUGGAUCAACAACAGAUGGUCAGCAGCAGCAGCACGGGUGAUGGAGCAUCAGCAGUAGCAACACUGCAAGCAGUUAGCAAGAGAAGAGUAGCAUCACGACGGGCAGGCUCAUGGGAGCAAAGUAGUAGGAGAAAUCACCUCGAUCGGGCGGGGAUGGAGCAGCGUCAGGGAAGCAGCGGCGGCGACGGCCCUGCCGCACGAGCAGCGUCGGGGCAGACGAGCAGCAGCAGCAGGGGAAGAUGAGCAGCAGCAGGGGCAGACGAGCUCCACCGGUGGCAGGGGAGAAGCAACCACACGGGCGCGCGGGCAGGGGAGAAGGAGCAGUAGGGGCUCGCGUGGGAGAUCGAGGAGGAAGCACGUGGGCUCCUGGUCCAGUUUCCCGCGACGCCCGAAGGGGAUCACGGCCGGGAGGAACUUCGGUGGCGCACACGCGGGAGCUCGAGGAGGAUCCGCGGGAGCUCAAGGAGGACGUGCUGGAGCUUGAGGCGGGCGCGGGUACGUGGCGACGGCGGCGGAGGACUUCCUGGUGGGCGACGAAUCGCGCAGCUGGGCGGCGCCGGCCCCUGUCAACGGCGAAGGAAGGUGGAGGAAGAAGACGGGGAUGGAGGGACUUAUUUGAGAUGGUUUUAAAUCUGUGAGGGCUUUUUAGCAAAAUUACAAAUGAACUAAGCCUGUGACAUGUUUUUCGGGGCGGAGGGAGUACUUCGCCAGCUCAUAUCCCGCCAGCGGUAGUUCAAAUUUCGAACAUUUAAACCCGGGGGGUUCGUAGGGCACGGCCACGCGUUAGGAUCUGUCCAUGAAUGCAAGCCUAUUGGCAGCCAUACAUGCCACUGCCUAAAUGUUCUGUAUCUCAUCAGCCUG